CGCCCGCCACUACGCCCGGCUAAUUUUUUGUAUUUUUGGUAGAGGUGGGGUUUCACCGUGUUAGCCAGGAUGGUCUCGAUCUCCUGACCUCAUGAUCUGCCUGCCUCGGUCUCCCAAAGUGCUGGGAUUACAGGCGUGAACCACUGCGCCCAGCCAUGUACCACAUUUUCUUUAUCCAAUUCACUGUUGAUGGGCACCUAGAUUGAUUCCAUGUCUUUGCUCUUGUGAAUAGUGCUGUGGUAAACGUGAGUGCAUGCAUCUUUUUGGUAGAAUGAUUUAUUUUAUUUGGAUAUAUACCCAGUAAGGGGAUUGUUGAGUAGAAUGGUAGUUCUAAGUUCUUUGAAAAAUCUCUAAAUGGCUUUUUUUUUUUUUUUUUUUUUGAGACGGAGUCUUGCUCUGUCGCCCAGGCUGGAGUGCAGUGGCAUGAUCUCGGCUCACUGCAACCUCCACCUCCCUGGUUCAAGCAAUUCCCCUGCCUCAGCCUCCCAAGUAGCUGGGACUACAGGCGUGCACCACCACGCCCAGCUCUUUUUUUUUUUUUUUGUAUUUUUAGUAGAGACAGGGUUUCACCACGUUGGCCAGGCUGGUCACGAACUCCUGACCUCAGGCAAUCCGUCCACCUCUGCCUCCCAAAGUGCUGGGAUUACAGGCAUGAGCCACUGUGCCUGGCCCAAAUUGCUUUUUACAGUGGCUGGACUAAUUUAUAUUCCCACUAACAAUAUAUAAGUGUAGGGAGAUGACUUCUUAACCAAAGACCUGAUGUCUAGGAGUUUGCAGCAAUAAUGCAAAUGACAACAACUGUAUUUAAUCAACUGUUAAUACCACCCUGCUGGUGCUUUCUCCAAAGCUUUCAAGUUGCAGCCUCAGCAGAUAAUGAGGUAUGGGUCGUAAUUUUAAGAAAACCACCACCAGAUGAAGAAGCUUGUGUCUGAGGUUAGAAGUGGAAACAGGGAUAGCAGGCAGGAUUGAGGGAAACUGCCCCGGGCUUAGGAUGAGACCAGAGACAGGUUGGCUGCUGUGCGGGAGGGAAGCCACUCGGCUGGAUAGGAUGAUGUAAAGUGCUCCCACAGCGUCUUGUCCACAGGGGGUGCACCACCAGCAUCCUCCUUGGAAAUGCUGGCCACAGGUGCCCUGUGUAGAAGCACAAGUGAGUUGGUGAAGAGCGGAUCCCCACCACCAAGGACUGUGUGGAAGGAAUGAGUCCACAUCCCUGACUGAUUUGGCCGACUCCGUGUGUUCCCUGGGCUGAAGUGAGUGUCCUGCUGGACUCUACAAGGCCACCCUCAGCGUGUCAGUUUCUGGGAAAAAGGCCCUUCCUAGGCAUCACCUCUGGCCGAAGCCUGCCAUCCUAACCUUUGGCUCCUGGCUUCCAGACUUUCUGGGAAGAGAAGGGAAAGGAUUCCUGAUGAAGAGGAUCUAAGCAUAGUCCCUGAUUUGAUAUCCAGUCUCAUUCACAACCUUGCACUGUGUCCUUGGGCCAAAGCUUUGGGCCCACUGAGGAAAAUCAAAAGAAUGAGCUGCCACCAAUUCCCAAAGAUACAUCUCCAAGAGGAAGUGGGGCAGCAGCACCGCCACCGGAACAAGUGUGGGUCUCUCAAGGCUCCAUGAUCUCCAGGCACACGUUCACGAUGCACUGGAUCUCCAGC
rnacentral:lncRNA from 1 species